GUAGUCCANGCCGUAAACGAUGGAUACUAGCUGUUGGAGGUAUCGACCCCUUCAGUAGCGAAGCUAACGCGUUAAGUAUCCCGCCUGUGGAGUACGGUCGCAAGACUAAAACAUAAAGGAAUUGACGGGGACCCGCACAAGCGGUGGAUCGUGUUCUUUAAUUCGAUGAUAAACGAAGAACCUUACCAGGGUUUGACAUCCUUGGAAUUUCUGUGAAAGCAGAGAGUGCUUUAUUGAGCCAAGUGACAGGUGAUGCAUGGCCGUCGUCAGCUCGUGUCGUGAGAUGUUUGGUUAAGUCCAUCAACGAGCGCAACCCUUGUGAAUAGUUGUAUUUUUCUAUUCAGACUGCCCCGGUAACGGGGAGGAAGGAGGGGAUGAUGUCAGGUCAGUAUUUCCCUUACACCCUGGGCUAGAAACACGAUACAAUGGUUAGUACAAUGCGCAGCGAAGCCGCGAGGUGGAGCAAACCGCAUCAAAGCUAAUCUCAGUUCGGAUAAGAGGCUGAAACUCGCCUCUUUGAAGUCGGAAUCGCUAGUAAUCGCAAAUCAGCAAGUUGCGGUGAAUACGUUCCCGGGUCUUGUACACACCGCCCGUCAAACCAUGAAAGUCACCAACACCCGAAGUCCGAUUCGUCGGCCUAAGGUGGGGGGGAUGAUUGGGGUU
rnacentral:rRNA from 1 species